CAAAAGGCCCUUUUCAGGGCCACCCAUCUUAUCACUUAAAAGGGUU
rfam:Mesocricetus auratus contig023770, whole genome shotgun sequence.